ensembl:lncRNA
GAAUGCGCUUCGUGCGCCCGCCCGCGCCGCCCCGGGCGGAGAGGAAGCCGGGCGUGUGCCGCCGCGGCGGGACGGUGGGACCGGUGCGUGCGGGGAGCUCCGGGCCGGCGCGGCCUGGGAACUUCCCGGCGUGCGUGACGCGGAUCAGCGGGGCGGCGGGUGGCGUGCCCUCGCUCUGGACCGGAAGCCUGGGAUCCUUGGGGCCUGGGUUCAGAUCCCAACUCCACCGCCCAAGCUCAGGGUCCUUGCUUGCAUAAUGGGGACGCGCCGCGGUUAACGGAGGUGGAGCGCCGGGACCCUCCUAGGCCUGCAGGCUGGAACACUAAUUGUAACACUCCUCGAGCGGUGGAACGCCCCUUCGGGGGAGUCUUCACCCCCACGCCCCCUGUCUGUGCGCCCUCCGACCGGUGGGCCUGGGGCUCCCGGCCUCCUGGCCAAAGGCGCGAAGGGCGUGGUCAGGACCUCGGGGCGCAAACUUGCGGGAGCCGUGGAAAGCUGUGCGGAGGGGAGGUUCCUGGACUCGUCCUGGAACCGCGGGGCGAGAGGCCAGAUCGGGCGCGGUGUGGCCAGAGGGGGCGGUCACGAAGCCGCGGCUCUGGAAGGCCUCGGGGCCUGGUCCGCCUGGCGGAAGGGAGGGAAUGUGAGAAGGCCAAGUGGGAGGGCGCUGGGCUUCGCUUUACGCAGGUAGCUGGGCGGCGGGAGGUGGGGGUGGAUUAAGGAAGAGCAGAAUCCAACUCGGCUCUGCGUCCGCUUUCCCCCAUCCCUGGGAUUGGCCGCGUCCAGGGACCCCUCCCUGGGGAGCGUCCGGGUCAGAGACUCCCUCUUGCCCUUCUCCAGCUCCUCGUGAAGUCCGGACUGUCCGGUUGGGACUCGGUUUGGCCGGGCGCUUUCUCCCUCACCAUAAACGUCUUCCGUCUCGAUGUCCCUCCGACCUCAGGUAUGGUCCACUCUGGGAGUGACUCAGCCUCCCUGGUGAGUGAGUCGGCUCUGUGCCUCAAAGCGGGGAGGGCCUGAGACCCCUGGGGAUAGCCAGUCCCUGUCCUGGUGGCCCCUCCCGAGUCUGAGAUGCUCAGCGUUUUCCUGUUGGGUGGAUUUUGCAGAGUUCAUGUCUCUCAGUUGAGUUUCGUCAGCUCCAAAGGGGCCACCACGCCGUGCGGGUUUCUGGCACCUUCAUUCAGCUGGACGCAGUCACCAUGGUCCCUGGGGCCGAGUCCCCAGGGUGGGUGUGGCCUCGCUCGGCAUGCACUUGGCCGUGGAGGGG